CCGGGCGACGGUUGUCCCGGUUUAAGCGUGUAGGUGUGUGUUCCAGGUAAAUCCGGUUCACUUUAACACUGAGGCGUGACGACGAGGCACUACGGUGCUGAAGCAACAAAUGCCCUGCUUCCAGGAAAAGCCUCUAAGCAUCAGGUAACAUCAAAUCGUACCCCAAACCGACACAGGUGGUCAGGUAGAGAAUACCAAGGCGCUUGAGAGAACUCGGGUGAAGGAACUAGGCAAAAUGGUGCCGUAACUUCGGGAGAAGGCACGCUGACAUGUAGGUGAAGUGAUUUACUCAUGGAGCUGAAGUCAGUCGAAGAUACCAGCUGGCUGCAACUGUUUAUUAAAAACACAGCACUGUGCAAACACGAAAGUGGACGUAUACGGUGUGACGCCUGCCCGGUGCCGGAAGGUUAAUUGAUGGGGUCAGCGCAAGCGAAGCUCCUGAUCGAAGCCCCGGUAAACGGCGGCCGUAACUAUAACGGUCCUAAGGUAGCGAAAUUCCUUGUCGGGUAAGUUCCGACCUGCACGAAUGGCGUAAUGAUGGCCAGGCUGUCUCCACCCGAGACUCAGUGAAAUUGAACUCGCUGUGAAGAUGCAGUGUACCCGCGGCAAGACGGAAAGACCCCGUGAACCUUUACUAUAGCUUGACACUGAACAUUGAGCCUUGAUGUGUAGGAUAGGUGGGAGGCUUUGAAGUGUGGACGCCAGUCUGCAUGGAGCCGACCUUGAAAUACCACCCUUUAAUGUUUGAUGUUCUAACGUGGACCCGUGAUCCGGGUUGCGGACAGUGUCUGGUGGGUAGUUUGACUGGGGCGGUCUCCUCCUAAAGAGUAACGGAGGAGCACGAAGGUUGGCUAAUCCUGGUCGGACAUCAGGAGGUUAGUGCAAUGGCAUAAGCCAGCUUGACUGCGAGCGUGACGGCGCGAGCAGGUGCGAAAGCAGGUCAUAGUGAUCCGGUGGUUCUGAAUGGAAGGGCCAUCGCUCAACGGAUAAAAGGUACUCCGGGGAUAACAGGCUGAUACCGCCCAAGAGUUCAUAUCGACGGCGGUGUUUGGCACCUCGAUGUCGGCUCAUCACAUCCUGGGGCUGAAGUAGGUCCCAAGGGUAUGGCUGUUCGCCAUUUAAAGUGGUACGCGAGCUGGGUUUAGAACGUCGUGAGACAGUUCGGUCCCUAUCUGCCGUGGGCGCUGGAGAACUGAGGGGGGCUGCUCCUAGUACGAGAGGACCGGAGUGGACGCAUCACUGGUGUUCGGGUUGUCAUGCCAAUGGCACUGCCCGGUAGCUAAAUGCGGAAGAGAUAAGUGCUGAAAGCAUCUAAGCACGAAACUUGCCCCGA
rnacentral:rRNA from 1 species